GAAGACGCCUUUUAAGCUGCUACAGAGAGGGAAUAUACAGAGAGGCCUACUGAGGUUUACUCCUUAAAGAACAAUGCUGGAAAUUACAAUGAGGAAAGAUGGUACAUCCACCUGCACUGCACAACUUACCUUAUUCCCUGUGAAACAGCUAUACAAUGUGUACUUAGAGAAACACAUUGAAAAAUCACAUUUUGAAAU